GCCCCCGUGAGAAUGCCCUUGACCUCCUAAUGAAGGCAAGGAGCGGGUAUCAGGUACAAUUAUAAAUUCUUUGCCUACAACACCUCGCCAAGGCCACACCCCUACGGGUAUUCAGCAGUGAUUAAUAUUAAGAAAAUGAGUGAAAACUUGACUUAAUUAUAGCCAACCAGGGUUGGUAAAACUCGUGCCAGCCACCGCGGUUAUACGAGUAACCCCAGUUGAUAACAAACGGCGUAAAGGGUGGUUAGGAGUGUCAUUAAAGUAAAGCCGAACUUUUCCCGGACCGUAAAAAGUAUCCGGAAUUUGAAGCCCAUUUACGAAGGUAGCUUUAUAACUCUGACUCCACGAAGGCUAGCGAAACAAACCGGGAUUAGAUACCCCGUUAUGCCUAGCCCUAAACAAUGAUAUUCUCAUACAUUAAUAUCCGCCUGGUUACUACGAACAUUAGUUUGAAAACCAAAGGACUUGGCGGUGCUUUAAGCCCUUCUAGAGGAGCCUGUCCUGUAAUCGACAACCCCCGUUUAACCUCACCCUUUCUAGCCCCCUCCGCUUAUAUACCACCGUCGAAAGUUUACCCUGUGAAGGCACAAUAGUGAGCACAAUCGGUGAAAACCCAGAACGUCAGGUCAAGGUGUCGCGAAUGAAAGGGGAAGAGAUGGGCUACACUUGUUAUUUUAACAUAUACGGAAAUUACGCUGAAACAACGUAAUUGAAGGUGGAUUUAGUAGUAAGCUGGAAAUAGAGAGUCUAGCUGAAUAAGGCCCUAAAGCGCGCACACACCGCCCGUCACCCUCACCCGAUAUGUUUAAACAUACUCGCCUGGAGAGGAAAGUCGUAACAUGGUAAGUGCACCGGAAGGUGUGCUUGGU
rnacentral:ncRNA from 1 species